rnacentral:rRNA from 1 species
UACGGAGGGCGCAAGCGUUGUUCGGAAUUACUGGGCGUAAAGCGCGUGUAGGCGGUCUGGUAAGUCGGUUGUGAAAUCCCCGGGCUCAACCCGGGAACUGCAUCCGAAACUGCUGGGCUAGAGUUUCGGAGAGGAAGGCAGAAUUCCCAAUGUAGGGGUGAAAUCCGUAGAUAUUGGGAGGAAUACCAGUGGCGAAGGCGGCCUUCUGGACGGUAACUGACGCUGAGACGCGAAAGCGUGGGGAGCAAACAGG